rnacentral:lncRNA from 1 species
UAGUUGCAUCUUUUUUUAUGUCAAAGGUACUUAUUUUCAGUGUAAUAAUUAUAGUCAGUACCAAAUAUUCAUUCAUUUUUUUAUUUUAUGAAUUUUUCAUUAUGUAAUGCUCCCCUUAUCUAGGGAAAAAACCAUUAUCUCCAAUCCUUCUUUCUAGUCUAGUUAUGUUCACCUUUGAAAUAAAUAAAUCCCAAGAGCCAUAUUCUUUGUACUAUAUUUUCAUUAUUCUUUGCUCUUUCCAAGUAAGUAUCAGAAACUAUUGAAAAAUGUCUUACAAAUCCUACAAGCACCGGCUACCGAAAGUAGGCAAAAAUUGAGACCAGUCGUCCAAUUUAUUGGUGUUUCCACCCUCCAAUUUAUUUAGGUGGUUGAAGAAUAAUCCGUCAAACAAACAACAAUUUUUUAUAAUUGGAAACCAUCUCAUUUAUUAGGAGUGGCAAUUUACUCCGCUCCAUUGGGAAUUGGACCUGACCCAACCCUAAUGGGGUGGGUUUUACCCGAUCCGCAACGGAUUCGAGAUGGGAAUUGGUAAUGGUAAAACCUGCCCCAAACCCUACCCGACCCAUACCUGAUCUGUUGCCAUCCCUAUCACUUGUGUUCUUUUCCUAUUUGCCUUCUUCCAACCAGUUGUUAUUUGGGUAGGGUUGUAAUGCAUGCUUUUGAUGGAGGCCCAUCAUUGAGAGUUGAUGGAGUGGACAAGAGGGUAGUGAUGGAAAAUUUGGAACAUUUAGGAAAGAGAGGAGGAAAUACAAGGGAGUUGUAAUGGAGCAUUUUAGUCAAAGAACACAAGCAAUUGGAUAAAAGAGCCAAAAUAAUUACAUCUAGCAAGGCAAUUUCUCUCACAUUAAGAUUUUUUCCCCCUUAGAGAGGGUGAGGAUAAUUUUUGAUUGUAGGAGGAUGAAGCUUUCUUCCCCUGUUUGAUCAUGUGCUAGACUUGUAUUAUGGAUUCUCCUUGUGAUCAAAGGUUAUGCAAGGUUGGGUCCUAUUGGGUAUGUUCUAUUGUGGUAACUUUACUCUAACAUAAUCAAAAUCUAACUCUUGGAGACAUCUUGCAAACCUACAGGGUCUUGUAGUCGAAGAAUAUCAAAGCUUGCUUAUACCUUCUCUUUUCUUUCUUUAUGCCUAAAAUCACAUGAGCUUAGUAAUCUUAAGGAUUGUGACAGACAAAUUAAGGAAUAAUAUGAACCAUUCUCUUCCCUCACAGGCUGUAAUUUCUCAUAUUACUUUGGCACAUUAAUUUUAGAAAAACGCCAAAACUUGCUUACACCUUCCCUUUUCUUUCUUUAUGCCUAAAAUCACGAGCUUAGUAAUCUUAAGGAUUGUCACAGACAAAUUAAGGAAUAAUAUGAACCAUUCUCUUCCCUCACAGGCUGUAAUUUCUCAUAUUACUUUGGCACAUUAAUUUUAGAAAAAUGCCAAAACUUGCUUACACCUUCCCUUUUCUUUCUUUAUGCCUAAAAUCACGAGCUUUGUAAUCUUAGGGUCAAAUAAACUACGGAAUAGUUUGAAUCAUUUUGCCUCCCACACAGGCUUUAAUUUUGUCAUGUUACUUUUGACACAUAACUUUGAGAACCAUGUUGUUCAAAUUAUUGCUGUAACAGCAUCAUAUUUUUUUAACUUACCAUGCUGCAAAUUUGUCAAAGAUCC